UUUCACGUCCAUUUUUUUUCUUAUCCCCUUUGUGCCGCUCUCUUGUGUUUUUCUUUCUCUCUUGAUUUUACUACGCUUUCUUUUGAAUCCCUUUAUUUUUGAGCUUGUCCAUCUUGUUUCCAUCAAAAAGGUUAUAAUUUUGGCGUGGAAACAAAAAAACUGACAGAUCCGGAUAUUCGAGUUCAGACCGGAUAUCCAGAUAUCUGACUUACGCGAGAACGAGAUCGAGAUAGUCUUUUAACAGAACCCGUGGAUACGAAGCCCGAAGCCGGAUACCCUGAAACUCGCGGAUGUCCGCCCGUGCCCACCCCUACGUGCAAUAUAUGACAAAGCCCUAAUGAAUUUGGAAGAAAAAAUUGCCCAAAAGGAAGAAUUAAAUAGUCGAUGGGUAUGACUCAACCUUUUUGCCUGAUAGCCGAAGAAACGAAUUCAGAUAAAAUGCCAAAACCAGCAGGAGAAGAAGAUUGGGGGAAGAUGGACCUGGAAAUGUUUCAGGAUCACUCACUAUGACUUUCAAAAGAGGUCGGUCACUGUCAGUCACAAAUGUAACCGCAGAUCCUUCCCUUCCAGCCUUAGCUGUUCUACCUACCCGGUGAACAUCGCUACAAGAUAGACACGAAAAUUAGUCCUCACAAAAGUUAAAAUUUGACAAUAUUAGAUAA